rnacentral:rRNA from 1 species
CCUACGGGAGGCAGCAGUGGGGAAUAUUGGACAAUGGGCGCAAGCCUGAUCCAGCCAUGCCGCGUGAGUGAUGAAGGCCCUAGGGUUGUAAAGCUCUUUCACCGGAGAAGAUAAUGACGGUAUCCGGAGAAGAAGCCCCGGCUAACUUCGUGCCAGCAGCCGCGGUAAUACGAAGGGGGCUAGCGUUGUUCGGAUUUACUGGGCGUAAAGCGCACGUAGGCGGAUCGAUCAGUCAGGGGUGAAAUCCCAGAGCUCAACUCUGGAACUGCCUUUGAUACUGUCGAUCUGGAGUAUGGAAGAGGUGAGUGGAAUUCCGAGUGUAGAGGUGAAAUUCGUAGAUAUUCGGAGGAACACCAGUGGCGAAGGCGGCUCACUGGUCCAUUACUGACGCUGAGGUGCGAAAGCGUGGGGAGCAAACAGGAUUAGAUACCCGUGGUAGUCCACGCCGUAAACGAUGAAUGUUAGCCGUCGGGCAGUAUACUGUUCGGUGGCGCGAGCGUACGACUACUAACUACGUUCCGUCCGUCGGGUAGGUACGGUCGGCGAAGUAAUUAAACGUAACUUAAGUUAGUAGUUAGUUACGGUGUUGAGACGCGACGACGGACGACGACGAGGGAGGAGG